UUUGGUUUAGCAAAAUUAAUGUAUUAAAUUUAGAAUUUAAAGAAGAAAUUAUUUCAACCAAAA
rnacentral:tRNA from 1 species